ACACUCCUGCGGGAGGCAGCAGUGGGGAAUUUUGGACAAUGGGCGAAAGCCUGAACCAGCAAUGCCGCGUGAGUGAAGAAGGCCUUCGGGUUGUAAAGCUCUUUUGUCAGGGAAGAAACGGUGAAAGCUAAUAUCUUUUGCUAAUGACGGUACCUGAAGAAUAAGCACCGGCUAACUACGUGCCAGCAGCCGCGGUAAUACGUAGGGUGCAAGCGUUAAUCGGAAUUACUGGGCGUAAAGCGUGCGCAGGCGGUUUUGUAAGUCUGAUGUGAAAUCCCCGGGCUCAACCUGGGAAUUGCAUUGGAGACUGCAAGGCUAGAAUCUGGCAGAGGGGGGUAGAAUUCCACGUGUAGCAGUGAAAUGCGUAGAUAUGUGGAGGAACACCGAUGGCGAAGGCAGCCCCCUGGGUCAAGAUUGACGCUCAUGCACGAAAGCGUGGGGAGCAAACAGGAUUAGAAACCCCUGUAGUCCCAUG
rnacentral:rRNA from 1 species